rnacentral:tRNA from 1 species
CGCGGAGUGGAGCAGUGGUAGCUCGUUGGGCUCAUAACCCAAAGGUCGUUAGUUCGAAUCUAGCCUCCGCAA